GGGGAAUAUUGGACAAUGGGCGCAAGCCUGAUCCAGCAAUGCCGCGUGGGUGAUGAAGGCCUUCGGGUUGUAAAGCCCUUUUGGCGGGGACGAUGAUGACGGUACCCGCCGAAUAAGCUCCGGCUAACUUCGUGCCAGCAGCCGCGGUAAUACGAAGGGAGCUAGCGUUGUUCGGAAUUACUGGGCGUAAAGGGCGCGUAGGCGGCUUCGAUAGUCAGGCGUGAAAUCCCCAGGCUCAACCUGGGAAUUGCGCUUGAUACUGCGAGGCUUGAGUGAGGGAGAGGAUAGUGGAAUUCCCAGUGUAGAGGUGAAAUUCGUAGAUAUUGGGAAGAACACCAGUGGCGAAGGCGGCUAUCUGGACCUCAACUGACGCUGAGGCGCGAAAGCGUGGGGAGCAAAC
rnacentral:rRNA from 1 species